rnacentral:rRNA from 1 species
AAUAGAUACCCAGGUAGUCCACCCCGUAAACGUUGGGAACUAGUUGUGGGGUCCUUUCCACGGAUUCCGUGACGCAGCUAACGCGUUAAGUUCCCCGCCUGGGGAGUACGGCCGCAAGGCUAAAACUCAAAGGAAUUGACGGGGACCCGCACAAGCGGCGGAGCAUGCGGAUUAAUUCGAUGCAACGCGAAGAACCUUACCAAGGCUUGACAUACACCAGAACACCCUAGAAAUAGGGGACUCUUUGGACACUGGUGAACAGGUGGUGCAUGGUUGUCGUCAGCUCGUGUCGUGAGAUGUUGGGUUAAGUCCCGCAACGAGCGCAACCCUCGUUCUAUGUUGCCAGCACGUAAUGGUGGGAACUCAUGGGAUACUGCCGGGGUCAACUCGGAGGAAGGUGGGGAUGACGUCAAAUCAUCAUGCCCCUUAUGUCUUGGGCUUCACGCAUGCUACAAUGGCCGGUACAAAGGGCUGCAAUCCGUGAGGUGGAGCGAAUCCCAAAAAGCCGGUCCCAGUUCGGAUUGAGGUCUGCAACUCGACCUCA